CUGCUCACUUGGGUUCUUUUUGUGUUCUGGUUUUGAGCAAGAGAAUCUGGACUGGUUGAGAGGUGCCUGGUCCAAAUGGACAGCAGGGUACCAUGAUUUUCAGUAUAACA